UACAGAGGGUGCAAGCGUUAAUCGGAAUUACUGGGCGUAAAGCGUGCGCAGGCGGUUAUAUAAGACAGAUGUGAAAUCCCCGGGCUCAACCUGGGAACUGCAUUUGUGACUGUAUAGCUAGAGUACGGUAGAGGGGGAUGGAAUUCCGCGUGUAGCAGUGAAAUGCGUAGAUAUGCGGAGGAACACCGAUGGCGAAGGCAAUCCCCUGGACCUGUACUGACCCUCAUGCACGAAAGCGUGGGGAGCAAACAGG
rnacentral:rRNA from 1 species